rnacentral:lncRNA from 1 species
GGUUUAUUUCAUUUGAAAAAAUAACAUGAGAUCUAUUUAAACUUAGUCAUUAGAACCAUUAAAAGUUUCAGUUCAAGCUCCCUUUAUCUAUAUAUUUAUAUAUUAAUAACAUAUUUGUGACAAAAACAUUAGUUUUUGCAUUUGUAAUAAUCACAGAUUUGCACUAUUCAUAUUUCAGCCUUGAGCAAGUAACUGGAUAUUGUGCCUUGUUAUGAUGCAAUGCUUUUGUGCAAAGUGGAUUAAAAUGAAAGAUAAAUCUAUAAUACUUGAAUAAUGAGGUCCAAUGUGUUAGCCUUCAUGCAGUAAAAACGACAAAUCAAAGAAUUCAACUUUAUAUAUAGGACAAUGGUGUUGAUUAAAAAUUACACCACUCUCGACCCUUUUGUUUUCAACAUAAUUAAUAUUGCCAAUAAUUAACAAGUUCCAGGUUGAUUCAGAUUCUGAUACCAAUAGACUAAAUGUUUUCACAUGUUACCUAUAACCUUAUCUGUAUGUUCCGCAUCUGACAGGCGCACCACCAGUGUAUUAAGGAUUUGCUAUUUACACGGGUCAUAAUCAAAGGGUUGACACUACUGAAUCAUUGUCACAUUGUUUCCUAUUGUAAUAUUUUAAUCAGUAUGGCUUAAGAUGACAAUAUGAGUACGCACUUAAAAUCUAGACUUAAAAUAAGGCGUAUAGGUAGUUUCCAAUUUGUUAGCCAGCAUGACUUAAAACAGCCAAUCAAAGAAUUCAACUUUAUAAACUUAUAUAGGACAAUGCUGUAAAUUUAAAAAUACUACAUUUCAGGUCCUUUUGUUUUCCAAAUAAUUAAUAUUACUAAUAAUUGAUAAGUUCCAGGUCAACAGUUCAAACAGAAAGAGUUUGAAAGCAGAGAAAAUUUUGCAUCUUAUAAUAUAAACAGCAAGACUUUAUCAGGUGACAAUACCAAUACUGAAAAUCCAGUCUAAAAUAAGGCUUACACAUAGUUAUAUACUUUAAUUCAGUAAUGAACCUGCAAUAUCACGGUGUGUUUGUGUUUGUUAUAAGAAUAAAAGAUCUUGAAAUACAGAGUUUUUGUCAUUCUCACACAAAAUGAAAAUACAUCUAGGAAACAACAUAGACAUGUGUCUUUGAAACAUUGCAAGCUCGAAGUCCCCAAGAUAAAACCAGAUGCUCUGCAGGGCACAGCUUUAUACGACCGCAGAGGUCGAACCCUGAACAAUUGGGGCAAGUAUGGACACAACAUUUAAGCUUGAUACAGCUCUGAAUUUGGAUUGUGAUUAAAUAGUUGACACAACAUAGGUUUCUGACACAGAAUGAAUGUGGUCUAAGAACUUAAAACUUAAUCAAAGAGCAAUCUGAGGGAUACGAUUGCCAUUGUUUCAUAGAUACAUAUAUUAGUAUUAUUUUCAAAAAUAA